GAUGGAUGUUGAUGAGAAUGAGUGAAUUUAAAGCCACAGUGACUUACUACUUUUAUAUUAUUUUAUGUUGGAGGGCUGACUUCUUAUGACAUCUUCAUCUGUCUGCUGCAACUUACUGGUAUGCUCAGUUAUGUUUCCAGGUAGCCCAGGAUGCUAGUCUUUUGUUUUGUGCCCUUGGUCUAUAUUUUUUAUUCUUUUAGGCAAAUGUUUGAUUUCCAUCACUAUCCUCUGAUUAUGUGCCAUACAAACAGCUGAGACAAUUGUCCUGGAGACAUUAUCUUUGGAGCAGAAGCUAUCUGGUUGCCACAGGAGCUCAGGUGUGGAGCACAUCACUGAGGUGUGAUGACAUCCCCAUAGAAAGAUGACCAAUAACAGUGGCAAUUGUGGAAAUCCUUACCUUAUUUCAGUGUCCAUUCACUUAAAUUGAAGAAUUGACUUGGACAGUAUACAAAUAAAGAAUGAUUCCAUCAUCUGGACAGUUGAUUCUACCAGUGUCUUUCUCCAAUUUAAUGAUGAAUGAAUCCUAGGUUACUUUGACAGACCUUCAGAUUUCAGCAUGCCAAAAUUGAUUUGAUAAAAGUCAUCUGAACUUGCAAUUCUAAUUUUUGAGUGGGGAAGACAUUUACAGUUUGGGUAACAAUUCUUCUUUUGGAUACCUUUUUUGUCAGGACUGUCAUUCCAA